rnacentral:rRNA from 1 species
UACAGAGGGUGCGAGCGUUAAUCGGAUUUACUGGGCGUAAAGGGCGCGUAGGCGGUUUAGUAGGUGUGGUGUGAAAGCCCUGGGCUUAACCUGGGAAGUGCAUCGCAAACGAUUGAACUGGAGUAGAUGAGAGGGUGGCGGAAUUUCCGGUGUAGCGGUGAAAUGCGUAGAGAUCGGAAGGAACGUCGAUGGCGAAGGCAGCCACCUGGCAUCAUACUGACGCUGAGGCGCGAAAGCGUGGGGAGCGAACAGG